AACGAACGCUGGCGGCAGGCCUAACACAUGCAAGUCGAGCGCCCUUUCGGGGGAGCGGCGGACGGGUGAGUAACGCGUGGGAAUAUGCCCUUCUCUACGGAAUAGCCUCGGGAAACUGAGAGUAAUACCGCAUACGCCCUAUGGGGGAAAGAUUUAUCGGGGAAGGAUUAGCCCGCGUUGGAUUAGGUAGUUGGUGGGGUAAUGGCCUACCAAGCCGACGAUCCAUAGCUGGUUUGAGAGGAUGAUCAGCCACACUGGGACUGAGACACGGCCCAGACUCCUACGGGAGGCAGCAGUGGGGAAUCUUAGACAAUGGGGGCAACCCUGAUCUAGCCAUGCCGCGUGAGUGAUGAAGGCCUUAGGGUUGUAAAGCUCUUUCAGCUGGGAAGAUAAUGACGGUACCAGCAGAAGAAGCCCCGGCUAACUCCGUG
rnacentral:rRNA from 1 species